rnacentral:rRNA from 1 species
GAUGAACGCUGGCGGCGUGCCUAAUACAUGCCAGUCGAGCGAACGGACGAGAAGCUUGCUUUUCUGAUGUUAGCGGCGGACGGGUGAGUAACACGUGGAUAACCUACCUAUAAGACUGGGAUAACUUCGGGAAACCGGAGCUAAUACCGGAUAAUAUUUUGAACCGCAUGGUUCAAAAGUGAAAGACGGUCUUGCUGUCACUUAUAGAUGGAUCCGCGCUGCAUUAGCUAGUUGGUAAGGUAACGGCUUACCAAGGCAACGAUGCAUAGCCGACCUGAGAGGGUGAUCGGCCACACUGGAACUGAGACACGGUCCAGACUCCUACGGGAGGCAGCAGUAGGGAAUCUUCCGCAAUGGGCGAAAGCCUGACGGAGCAACGCCGCGUGAGUGAUGAAGGUCUUCGGAUCGUAAAACUCUGUUAUUAGGGAAGAACAUAUGUGUAAGUAACUGUGCACAUCUUGACGGUACCUAAUCAGAAAGCCACGGCUGACUACGUG